CUGACGCAGCAACGCCGCGUGGGUGAUGAAGGUCUUCGGAUUGUAAAGCCCUGUUUUCUGGGACGAUAAUGACGGUACCAGAGGAGGAAGCCACGGCUAACUACGUGCCAGCAGCCGCGGUAAUACGUAGGUGGCGAGCGUUGUCCGGAUUUACUGGGCGUAAAGGGUGCGUAGGCGGAUGUUUAAGUGGGAUGUGAAAUCCCCGGGCUUAACCUGGGGGCUGCAUUCCAAACUGGAUAUCUAGAGUGCAGGAGAGGAAAGCGGAAUUCCUAGUGUAGCGGUGAAAUGCGUAGAGAUUAGGAAGAACACCAGUGGCGAAGGCGGCUUUCUGGACUGUAACUGACGCUGAGGCACGAAAGCGUGGGUAGCAAACAGGAUUAGAUACCCUGGUAGUCCACGCCGUAAACGAUGGAUACUAGGUGUAGGGGGUAUCAACUCCCUCUGUGCCGCAGUUAACACAAUAAGUAUCCCGCCUGGGGAGUACGGUCGCAAGAUUAAAACUCAAAGGAAUUGACGGGGGCCCGCACAAGCAGCGGAGCAUGUGGUUUAAUUCGAAGCAACGCGAAGAACCUUACCUGGACUUGACAUCCCUUGCAUAGCCUAGAGAUAGGUGAAGCCCUUCGGGGCAAGGAGACAGGUGGUGCAUGGU
rnacentral:rRNA from 1 species